rnacentral:rRNA from 1 species
AACGAACGCUGGCGGCAGGCUUAACACAUGCAAGUCAAACGGGUGUAGCAAUACACCAGUGGCGCAAGGGUGAGAAACGCGUGGGAAUUUGCCUUUCAGUACGGAAUAACCACGGGAAACUGUGGCUAAUACCGUAUGGUCCCUUCGGGGUAAAGAUUUAUCGCUGAAAGAUGAGCCCGCGUCAGAUUAGCUAGUUGGUGGGGUAAAGGCCUACCAAGGCAACGAUCUGUAGCUGGUCUAGAGGACGAUCAGCCACACUGGAACUGAGACACGGUCCAGACUCCUACGGGAGGCAGCAGUGGGGAAUAUUGGACAAUGGGGGCAACCCUGAUCCAGCCAUGCCGCGUGAGUGAUGAAGGCCUUCGGUUGUAAG